rnacentral:rRNA from 1 species
UACGUAGGGUGCAAGCGUUGUCCGGAAUUAUUGGGCGUAAAGGGCUCGUAGGCGGUUUGUCGCGUCGGGAGUGAAAACUCAGGGCUUAACCCUGAGCCUGCUUCCGAUACGGGCAGACUAGAGGUAUGCAGGGGAGAAUGGAAUUCCUGGUGUAGCGGUGAAAUGCGCAGAUAUCAGGAGGAACACCGGUGGCGAAGGCGGUUCUCUGGGCAUUACCUGACGCUGAUGCGCGAAAGCGUGGGGAGCAAACGGG